rnacentral:rRNA from 1 species
GAUGAACGCUGGCGGCGUGCCUAAUACAUGCAAGUCGAGCGAACAGAUGAGGAGCUUGCUCCUCUGACGUUAGCGGCGGACGGGUGAGUAACACGUGGAUAACCUACCUAUAAGACUGGGAUAACUUCGGGAAACCGGAGCUAAUACCGGAUAAUAUAUUGAACCGCAUGGUUCAAUAGUGAAAGACGGUUUUGCUGUCACUUAUAGAUGGAUCCGCGCCGCAUUAGCUAGUUGGUAAGGUAACGGCUUACCAAGGCGACGAUGCGUAGCCGACCUGAGAGGGUGAUCGGCCACACUGGAACUGAGACACGGUCCAGACUCCUACGGGAGGCAGCAGUAGGGAAUCUUCCGCAAUGGGCGAAAGCCUGACGGAGCAACGCCGCGUGAGUGAUGAAGGUCUUCGGAUCGUAAAACUCUGUUAUUAGGGAAGAACAAAUGUGUAAGUAACUAUGCACGUCUUGGCGGUACCUAAUCAGAAAGCCACGGCUAACUACGUG